UACGGAGGGAGCUAGCGUUGUUCGGAAUUACUGGGCGUAAAGCGCACGUAGGCGGCUUUGUAAGUUAGAGGUGAAAGCCCGGGGCUCAACUCCGGAACUGCCUUUAAGACUGCAUCGCUUGAAUCCAGGAGAGGUGAGUGGAAUUCCGAGUGUAGAGGUGAAAUUCGUAGAUAUUCGGAAGAACACCAGUGGCGAAGGCGGCUCACUGGGACGUCACUGACGCUGAGACGCGAAAGCGUGGGGAGCAAACAGG
rnacentral:rRNA from 1 species